UGAGAUUUAAAGAGCCGCAGUAUCCUGACUGUGCUAAGGUAGCAUAAUCAUUAGUCUUUUAAUUGGAGACUGGUAUGAAUGGUUAAACGAGAGAUCAACUUUUUUUGUUGUAAAGCUUGAAUUUAACUUUUUAGUGAAAAGGCUAAAAUUUUUCAAAAAGACGAGAAGACCCUAUAGAGUUUUAUAAUCAAGGGAAUAUUUCUUUCUUAGAUUUUUAUGAGAGGUAUUUACUGUAGUUAUUUUGUUGGGGCGACAUUUAGAUAUAAAAAACUCUUUAUUUUUAAAACUUUUAUGAAAGGUAAAUUGAUCCUUUAAAAAAAAGAUCAUAAGAAAAAAUUACCUUAGGGAUAACAGCGUAAUCUUUUUUGGGAGUUCUAAUCGACAAAAAGGUUUGCGACCUCGAUGUUGGACUAAAAUUAAGGCAGGGUGCAGCAGUUCUGCUAUAAGGUCUGUUCGACCUAUAAUUUUUUACACGAUCUGAGUUCAGACCGGCGUAAGCCAGGUUG
rnacentral:rRNA from 1 species